CCUACGGGAGGCAGCAGUCGAGAAUCAUUCACAAUGGAGGGAACCCUGAUGGUGCGACGCCGCGUGGGGGAAUGAAGGUCUUCGGAUUGUAAACCCCUGUCGUGUAGGGGCAAAUUAAAAAGAUAGUACCACAAGAGGAAGAGACGGCUAACUCUGUGCGAGCAGCCGCGGUAAUACAGAGGUCUCAAGCGUUGUGCGGAAUCACUGGGCGUAAAGCGUGCGUAGGCUGUUUCGUAAGUCGUGUGUGAAAGGCGCGGGCUCAACCCGCGGACGGCACAUGAUACUGUGAGACUAGUGUCAUGGAGGGGGAGCCGGAAUGUUGGGUGUAGCAGUGAAAUGCGUAGAUAUC
rnacentral:rRNA from 1 species